rnacentral:ncRNA from 2 species
ACAACCCCACGUGACUGGCGAUAGGAUCUUCGGAUCCAAGGUGGAGCAACCCACCAGGAAGCGCGGAGCGUCGUUUUGCCGUUCGCCUGGGCAGCUGAG